GGUGAGUAACACGUGGGUAACCUGCCCUUAAGUGGGGGAUAACAUUUGGAAACAGAUGCUAAUACCGCAUAGAUCCAAGAACCGCAUGGUUCUUGGCUGAAAGAUGGCGUAAGCUAUCGCUUUUGGAUGGACCCGCGGCGUAUUAGCUAGUUGGUGAGGUAAUGGCUCACCAAGGCGAUGAUACGUAGCCGAACUGAGAGGUUGAUCGGCCACAUUGGGACUGAGACACGGCCCAAACUCCUACGGGAGGCAGCAGUAGGGAAUCUUCCACAAUGGACGCAAGUCUGAUGGAGCAACGCCGCGUGAGUGAAGAAGGCUUUCGGGUCGUAAAACUCUGUUGUUGGAGAAGAAUGGUCGGCAGAGUAACUGUUGUCGGCGUGACGGUAUCCAACCAGAAAGCCACGGCUAACUACGUGCCAGCAGCCGCGGUAAUACGUAGGUGGCAAGCGUUAUCCGGAUUUAUUGGGCGUAAAGCGAGCGCAGGCGGUUUUUUAAGUCUGAUGUGAAAGCCCUCGGCUUAACCGAGGAAGCGCAUCGGAAACUGGGAAACUUGAGUGCAGAAGAGGACAGUGGAACUCCAUGUGUAGCGGUGAAAUGCGUAGAUAUAUGGAAGAACACCAGUGGCGAAGGCGGCUGUCUGGUCUGUAACUGACGCUGAGGCUCGAAAGCAUGGGUAGCGAACAGGAUUAGAUACCCUGGUAGUCCAUGCCGUAAACGAUGAAUGCUAGGUGUUGGAGGGUUUCCGCCCUUCAGUGCCGCAGCUAACGCAUUAAGCAUUCCGCCUGGGGAGUACGACCGCAAGGUUGAAACUCAAAGGAAUUGACGGGG
rnacentral:rRNA from 1 species